CUUGAAUAUACUUAAGUUUCCUUGCAGUGUCACUGAAUGAAAUGCUCUCACCAGUGGCUGACACAUGGGUAAAAUAUGGAUGUUGUCCAUGGAGCACGUAAAGGGUGGUGAGUGGCUGGAUGUGAAUGUGGAAAGCUGGUGGGUCAGCAGUGAUAUUGCGUGGACAGCAGAUUGAUUUCAUAGUUGGUGUCAUGGCCUUCAGCAUCUCUGCACAUUUUUAUCUCAUUUUCAUUGUUUUGAAUAGUAAUGGUAGUCUUCUGAUGAUCACAGAUUUUCAAAUAACUGUGCGCAUAGAGUGAUGAUGUAUACCUGUAACACAGUAUAUUUCUUCUGUGAAGCUCUGUUAAUCCAUCCAUGUUGAGCUAUAAUGUGACAGAGAGUAUCUUCUUAGCUUUGAUUCUUUUUAAGGGAUUUGUUCCCCGUGCUUCUGUGGUUUGUGUUUCCCAUUUCUGGAUAGGGAUUUUGCACUUGGAAAUGGCAUGGUUGUAUUGCAAGAUCUCUUUCCUCCUUUGGCAAGGUUUCAACCAUCUAAAGUCAGAGGAUUCCAUCUAAUGAAACUGAAACGGAAUCCCUCAAAAUUUCCUGAAAUAGUUGGGAAAGAUUCCUGUGGUGACACUUCUACGUUUAAAGUUUUGUAUUCAUUCAAGAUGAGCAGGAUGCAUAAGAAGAUACUUUGUGAAAGCUAGCAACUUUUUCUGAAGAUGUCAUCCACAGGUAGUACAGAGGAUGGCACUGAGGCACUACUUGCAGCAUAGGUCCUCAGUGAAUUUCCCAUGCACUGUGGAUGAAUGCUGUUGCUUGUAGAGAAGACUGUGACACCGUCCUGGUGCGUUUCUCUUGAAAGCUUCCUUUCCUACUUGAGGGACUGUAUCUACUCCUAGACUUUUGUUUAUGUAGAAAGGGUUUGUUGUCAUUGUUGUUUGCUUAUUUAUUUUUGAUGUAUUUUAUUUUGUAUCUGUUGUUCACAUAAGCCACUAGCUGGGUAUUUCAAGAGAGUUACAGAUGGUGUGGGAGACUGGAGACGGACUGUAUCUACUCCUAGACUUUUGUUUAUGUAGAAAGGGUUUGUUGUCAUUGUUGUUUGCUUAUUUAUUUUUGAUGUAUUUUAUUUUGUAUCUGUUGUUCACAUAAGCCACUAGCUGGGUAUUUCAAGAGAGUUACAGAUGGUGUGGGAG
ensembl:lncRNA